AGCGAACGCUGGCGGCGGGCUUAACACAUGCAAGUCGAGCGGGCAUAGCAAUAUGUCAGCGGCAGACGGGUGAGUAACGCGUGGGAACGUACCUUUUGGUUCGGAACAACUGAGGGAAACUUCAGCUAAUACCGGAUAAGCCCUUACGGGGAAAGAUUUAUCGCCGAAAGAUCGGCCCGCGUCUGAUUAGCUAGUUGGUGAGGUAAUGGCUCACCAAGGCGACGAUCAGUAGCUGGUCUGAGAGGAUGAUCAGCCACAUUGGGACUGAGACACGGCCCAAACUCCUACGGGAGGCAGCAGUGGGGAAUAUUGGACAAUGGGCGCAAGCCUGAUCCAGCCAUGCCGCGUGAGUGAUGAAGGCCCUAGGGUUGUAAAGCUCUUUUGUGCGGGAAGAUAAUGACGGUACCGCAAGAAUAAGCCCCGGCUAACUUCGUGCCAGCAGCCGCCGUAA
rnacentral:rRNA from 1 species